GUUGAAGAACAUGAGUGACAGACGGGAACAAGAAGAGAUGAAUAUAAUGAAUCAUUACUCACGGGAUUUGUGAAAUACAUCCAGCCUGGUCAACUGUCAUCUUCACUCUAUAGUGACAACUGGUGUAUUGAUAUCAAACAACACCUGAUCAUCUUCACUGUAAAGUCCGAAAAUGAAGGAAAACCAAUUAUUUGAAUCUCACAAUUGAAAUCUAUUAUUAGUAUUAAAUAAAUGGGCUACAGAUAUUUCUACAAAUACUAACCAGUUAUUCCAACUAUUUCUUCGUGAUGUUCCCUUUUAGGGUUACGGCAGUGGAAUUAUUUAAUUUUCGUGUCUGUGAAAGUACAUAUCAAUAACAUGAUUUAUUUUAUCAGUCGUCUUGCAGUCGCAUGACUGAUGAAUCACGUGCGCAAAGAAUCACUCCUGAUUGGCUAAAGGCAAGUAUCAUCUUGUCUGUUAAAUAAUAGGUUCACUGUGGUGACUGAAAGACAUCAUACAGUUGUUGUUCAGGGGUGCUGAACAAAGGUUGCCUUGCCUGAAACCGGUAUAACUGAGUGGAGAAUCAAACGAUGAACCGGUCUUCAUAUUUAUUUUUGGUAUGAUUGUCACUGACAUAAGAUUUGU